rnacentral:rRNA from 1 species
UCCUACGGGACGCAGCAGUGGGGAAUAUUGCACAAUGGGGGAAACCCUGAUGCAGCGACGCCGCGUGAGUGAAGAAGUAAUUCGUUAUGUAAAGCUCUAUCAGCAGGGAAGAAAAUGACGGUACCUGAGUAAGAAGCCCCGGCUAACUACGUGCCAGCAGCCGCGGUAAUACGUAGGGGGCAAGCGUUAUCCGGAUUUACUGGGUGUAAAGGGAGCGUAGACGGCUGCGCAAGUCAGAAGUGAAAGCCCGGGGCUCAACCGCGGGACUGCUUUUGAAACUGUGUAGCUAGAGUGCAGGAGAGUUA